CACCUCUGAUUUGGGUCCGGUUGACCGAUACGAAGCCGAAACAAAGCCACCACUUGAGGACUAUCUGUUGCACGCAUUGGCGAUGUGGCCGGAAUUCCCAAGUCGCAGUCACAUUGGACGGGGAAAGGGUUUGGUGUAAGAAAAGAUGAAGCAGCCGCCGUCGUCGUAUCUGUACCACCACCACCACCACCAGCAGCAGGAGGAGAUGGAGGAGGCGGUGGCGGUGACCGUGGGGAUGGAGGUGGACGACGCCGAUCCCAUCGAGAUCCUCUCCGACUUCGACCGCCAGCAGCCCCCUGUCGACGCCGACUUCUUCAACUCCUUCGACGAUGACUUCGACGACCAAGACCUUGCUUGAAGGCACGUGCUCUUCCUCCUCGUUCUCUUCUGGUUGAUGUGUUAUUGUUCUGUGAUGCCUCGGCUGAGUUGGUGCGAGGUGGAAAUAAGGUGACAUGGAAUUCUGUCAGAUUAGUUGGUGUGGAAUGUUUCUUAUGGAGUCUGUCAUGGUAUCAUGCUGCCAUGUGUACGUAUGUGUAUCGAUUGUCAUGCUAUAAAACAAUUUCAGAACUGAUUAUGUUUUGAACAGAAGAGUUGCAUAGCUACUAUAAUGAAUCGGUAGCAUGUUGGACUGAGCCAAUUGUUUGACAAUUUAAGACAGUAAUGUUACCCUCAA